AUUGAACGCUGGCGGCAGGCCUAACACAUGCCAGUCGAGCGGAUGAAGGGAGCUUGCUCCUGGAUUCAGCGGCGGACGGGUGAGUAAUGCCUAGGAAUCUGCCUGGUAGUGGGGGAUAACGUCCGGAAACGGGCGCUAAUACCGCAUACGACCUGAGGGUGAAAGUGGGGGAUCUUCGGACCUCACGCUAUCAGAUGAGCCUAGGUCGGAUUAGCUAGUUGGUGGGGUAAAGGCCUACCAAGGCGACGAUCCGUAACUGGUCUGCGAGGAUGAUCAGUCACACUGGAACUGAGACACGGUCCAGACUCCUACGGGAGGCAGCAGUGGGGAAUAUUGGACAAUGGGCGAAAGCCUGAUCCAGCCAUGCCGCGUGUGUGAAGAAGGUCUUCGGAUUGUAAAGCACUUUAAGUUGGGAGGAAGGGCAGUAAGUUAAUACCUUGCUGUUUUGACGGUACCAACAGAAUAAGCACCGGCUAACUUCGUG
rnacentral:rRNA from 1 species